GACAGAGGAUGCAAGCGUUAUCCGGAAUGAUUGGGCGUAAAGCGUCUGUAGGUGGCUUUUCAAGUCCGCCGUCAAAUCCCAGGGCUCAACCCUGGACAGGCGGUGGAAACUACCAAGCUGGAGUACGGUAGGGGAGACUGGAAUUCCUGGUGUAGCGGUGGAAUGCGCAGAUAUCAGGAGGAACACCGAUGGCGAAGGCAGGUCUCUGGGCCAUUACUGACACUGAGAAGCGAAAGCAUGGGGAGCGAACAGG
rnacentral:rRNA from 1 species